rnacentral:rRNA from 1 species
CUGCUGCCUCCCGUAGGAGUCUGGUCCGUGUCUCAGUCCCAAUGUGGCCGUCCACCCUCUCAGGCCGGCUAUGGAUCGUCGGUUUGGUGGGCCGUUACCCCGCCAACUGCCUAAUCCAACGCGGACCCAUCCUAUGCCGCCUCAGCUUUUCACACCGUACCAUGCGGUACUGUGCGCUUAUGCGGUAUUAGCACCCGUUUCCGGAUGUUAUCCCCCUGCAUAGGGCAGGUUGUCCACGCGUUACUCACCCGUCCGCCGCUAA